rnacentral:rRNA from 1 species
ACGGAACUUUUCGGAGUUCAGUGGCGGACGGGUGAGUAACGCGUGAGAAUCUGCCUUCUGGUCGGGGACAACCACUGGAAACGGUGGCUAAUACCGGAUGAGCCUACGGGUAAAAGAUUUAUUGCCAGAAGAGGAGCUCGCGUCUGAUUAGCUAGUUGGUGAGGUAAAGGCUCACCAAGGCAUCGAUCAGUAGCUGGUCUGAGAGGAUGACCAGCCACACUGGGACUGAGACACGGCCCAGACUCCUACGGGAGGCAGCAGUGGGGAAUUUUCCGCAAUGGGCGAAAGCCUGACGGAGCAAGACCGCGUGAGGGAGGAAGGCUCUUGGGUUGUAAACCUCUUUUCUUGGGGAAGAAAAAAAUGACGGUACCCAAGGAAUCAGCAUCGGCUAACUCCGUGCCAGCAGCCGCGGUAAUACGGAGGAUGCAAGCGUUAUCCGGAAUUAUUGGGCGUAAAGCGUCCGCAGGUGGCACUUCAAGUCUGCUGUCAAAGGUCGGGGCUUAACCCCGGGAAGGCAGUGGAAACUGAAGCGCUAGAGUGUCGUAGGGGUAGAGGGAAUUCCCGGUGUAGCGGUGAAAUGCGUAGAGCUCGGGAAGAACAUCGGUGGCGAAAGCGCUCUGCUGGACUGCAACUGACACUCAGGGACGAAAGCUAGGGGAGCGAAUGGGAUUAGAUACCCCAGUAGUCCUAGCCGUAAACGAUGGAUACUAG